rnacentral:lncRNA from 1 species
AAUUCUUGUGUUGGAACUUCACUUUUCUGGCAACUGAAACCUCUUUAUAAUAAUCUUUAUUUGGGAUAAUUUUAAUUUUAGUUUUGAUGUGAUUUCAGGAGCCUACCUGGAGAACAGGGUGAAGAAAUGAAAAGUCAAGCAACAAAGUGAAGAAGUUCAAAGUCAAACAACAAGGUGAAAAGUUGAAAGUUAACAGAUUGAUGAAAUAGCAAGUCAGGAUCCCGUCUGAAGAACAGGAUGAUGAAAUUGCAAGUCAGGAGCUCGCCUGAAGAAUAGGGUGAUGAAAUUGCAAGUCAGGAGUCCACCUGAAGAACAGGGUGAUGAAAUUGCAAGACAGGAGCCCGCCUGAAGAACGGGGUGAUAAAAUGGCAAGUCAUGAGCCCGCCCAAAGCACAGGGCGAAUAAAUGGAAUACUAAGCAACAAGGUGAAGCAAGUGAAGACCAAGCAACAAGCGAUGAAAUUUUAAAUCAGGAGCCCGCGUGAAGAAUAGGGUGAUGAAACUCAAGUCAAGAGUCCAACAGAAGCUGCGCAGAUGGGAUUUUGUAAUUUCAUUUAUGUUUUUAACUUGUAAUUUUUAUUUUUGAUGUAAUAAUAGAGCCGCGAACCAGAACCUCGAUGGGACCUCACUCGACUCUCCAACUCGGCAUAAUCCAUCUCCUUCCAAUCCUUUGGGAUAACUGUCACUGAAUUCCCUCAUAACUUGGGUAGGUAGGAUGUCCUAAGUCAAGACCUGGUUUCCCUUCUUCCUCG